UACGGGGGGGGCAAGCGUUGUUCGGAAUUACUGGGCGUAAAGGGCUCGUAGGCGGCCAACUAAGUCAGACGUGAAAUCCCCAGGCUCAACCUGGGAACUGCGUCUGAUACUGGAUGGCUUGAAUCCGGGAGAGGGAUGCAGAAUUCCAGGUGUAGCGGUGAAAUGCGCAGAUAUCAGGAGGAACACCGGUGGCGAAGGCGGGUCUCUGGGCAACAACUGACGCUGAGGAGCGAAAGCGUGGGGAGCGAACAGG
rnacentral:rRNA from 1 species